rnacentral:misc_RNA from 1 species
GGGCAUCAGAGGACAACUUGCGCGUACUAAAAAAUCAAUAACAUAAGUGCACCAAUACUUAAAAAUAAGUCAAAGUUUUUUUAGAAAAAAAGAGUUAAAGCUAUGGGGGUUUGGAAAAUGCAGUGAACAGGUUUAAAUCUGCUAACAAUUGACACAAACGCUGGGCUGUCUACAAAUCCAGAAUGAAGUUAGUUUAUUUGUUUGUGUAUCUUCAUCUCAGCUGGUGUACUGCAGAAUAUGUUUGGGAAAACUCCCAAUGGGUUUGGAAGGAGGACGGCCCUGACACUCCACCUGCUAUUGAUACUGUAGAUGAAGGGUCUGGAGAAUAUGGAGACAAUUAUGAUGAUGAUUACGAGGGAGAAGAUGAUUACGAUGACGGAAGUGGAGAAGAAUAUGAUUGGAAUGACAAUGACAAUGUCCCUAACAACAAAAACAGAAACAACAAAAACAAAAAUAAAAAUAAGAAUAAGAAUCAAAACGAACCAGACUCGCCCGCCUUCAACGACAACAACAACAUAUACUUCAAGAACGAUGAUAUUGUGUUCAAUGAGGAAACAACAGCCGGGACAACAUCAACUACAACAACAACUCAGGCGGCUGUAUUCAACAAAGAUGAGACAACACAGAGUUCUGUUGAGAAUUCUAAUCUCCACCCUCCUUCAUUCUUCGCUCAGCCUGGGAUACUGGCAGCUGUUGUGGGCGGGGCAGUCGUUGGGCUUCUUUGUGCCAUUCUUCUUGUUAUGUUCAUUGUGUACAGAAUGCGUAAAAAAGACGAGGGAAGUUACGCCUUGGACGAGCCCAGAAGAUCUCCAAAUGUUCAUCUGUACUCUAAAGCCCCCUCCAGGGAAUUUUUUGCGUGAUUUGAAGCAUAAAAGUACGAAAUAUAGUGCGCAAAAUAUUCAUAAAUUUGCAGAAUAUUUGAAACAUAAAAUCCUCCAUUUUUGACAAGCACCCCUUCAACUUUUUCACCGAGUUUAUCCCUAAAUUAUCUCCACAAACAUUAUAAUAAUAUAAUAUAAUAUAAUAAUAUAUUAUCUCCACAAACGGGUUGAAAUGUUAAAUAAUUAACUCAAUAAGUUUACAGCAUUUGAUAUUCCUUUGUCUGAAGAAGGACCAGAAAUGACAACUCCCGCCAUUUUUAAUUUUAAACAAAUAAUUUUCAAUAUGACCUUGCCACAAAGGAGAAAUUUCAAAAUAUCAAGACGGAAUAAUUUCCCCGUUUUUCUAAAUAUUUAGUUUUGAACUCUGUAAGCAUUAACUCACAGAACAAUUAGAACGACAAAUCUGUAAGUGAUUUAAGAUUUUACAAACAUUAAGCGUACUGCAGUUGGAGGGAGGAAUGUAAACAAACUCAGUGUACAGUUUAUUUACGUAUUGUUUUGGGUGAUUUUGAACACUGCAGUACACAAUGAUCUUUGAAAUCUUCUAUGUAAAAAUAUUUAUCAAACAUUAUUAAAUUCUUUCCCCUUUCAAUGAAAUUUAAUCAAAUGUUCCAAUGAAUGUUGUUUACAUAUGAAAAUUACGUGUGUGAUUUUUAAAUAUUUAAAUGCAUUUACUAUAUUAGACAUGAAACAAACCGUAGUGAUUAGUGACACAUUUUCAUAAUUUGUGAAAAGGGCGCCACAGUUACACUUUUUCAAGGUUUAGCGCUUAAAGGGAACGUAGGCAUAAUUUCAAGUGACCCUCCAUUGAUGAGUGACAUGUUUCAAAAGGUAUCCUUAAAAGAUUUUUCUAAUCAAGUAAGAAUUAGAUAUCCAUAUUAUUGUUUUUGACAACUUUCAUUUGUGGUUUCUCUGCGAAAGUGACUAGCGCAUUUUUUGCUUUAGAAACUGUAGAAAUUAUCAGAAUUAAUUACUUAUUAAGCCCCCACAAAUCUACGUUAUCCUCCAUAUUAUUUAUCAGAUUAAGGUUCAAUCAAGCUGUGUUUCUUUUUAAAUGGAAGCUCAACUGAAAUUACGAGGGCAGUCCCUUUAAGGAGUUCUUUAAAAAUGAUGAAG